rnacentral:rRNA from 1 species
AUCUUGCGCAAUGGGCGAAAGCCGGACGCAGCCAUGCCGCGUGAAUGAGGACGGUCUUAGGAUUGUAAACUUCUUUCCCCGGGGACGAUAAUGACGGCACCCGGAGAAGAAGCCUCGGCUAACUUCGAGCCAGCAGCCGCGGUAAUACGAAGGGGGCUAGCGUUGCUCGGAAUUACUGGGCGUAAAGGGCGCGUAGGCGGAUCGUUAAGUCAGAGGUGGAAUCCCAGGGCUCAACCCUGGAACUGCCUUUGAUACUGGCGAUCUUGAGUAUGAGAGAGGUAUGUGGAACUCCGAGUGUAGAGGUGAAAUUCGUAGAUAUUCGGAAGAACACCAGUGGCGAAGGCGACAUUCUGGCUCAUUACUGACGCUGAGGCGCGAAAGCGUGGGGAGCAAACAG